GCAACGCAGAGCUGGUCCCCGGGAGGGGCGUAGCUCUGGUUGCAACGCUGUAGCGGCUUCUCAGGCUGAAUGACGCCAAGUACCGGCCCGGAGGGGAGCGAUCCGGCUUUGUGGGCCCUUUGACCGCCUUGGUGGUCCAGGGACUUCCAUUCCCCCUAAUGCUGAAAAAAGAAGUGGAAUAAAAAUCUAAAUGAUGAAGACAAAGACCUGAGAGGACAAUGUUCAAGGGAUAUCCUUCCAGAGAGCAGAAUUAAGGUUGAAUCGAGGGGAAUAUUUAUUAUGAUUAUUGUGUCCCUUCUUCACUGUUGUUUAUUAUAUGAGAGUGGAGAGGCCACUUCUAGACUAGGAAGAACCACUUCUAGACUAGGAAGAGUACCCAACCACACCUGGAGACUCUGGAGAUUCAACUGAAUGCAAUGACUGGAUAGGAGCCUACUUGCAUCUAUAGAAUUCUCUCGAAAAAAGAACUUUACCACUCCCUCUCAAUAAAUGGAGUCUUGUUAAUAAUAGUCAUCAUCAUCCUUUAUCAUCAAUGUUGGUUCAUGAAUUAUCUAUCCCCUCAUCUAUAGCUUCACAGAGAUCUCUGCCAAGUUUGAGCCCUAUACAACUCUUGAACCCCUUCCUAGCCAAGAUAACAUUCAGUUGUUAGGGCAUAAAGGUUGUACCCUGAGGACCCACAUUUGAACCUGAUGGAAAGGCCUGUGCAUCACAUGAAGCUGUGAUUCAUUGACUUCACAACCCUAUUCCUGACAAGUACACUAGACCUGUGAUAGGAAUAAUUUUUAAUUGGUUUCAGUGAAUAUGUUUCUUAAAGGUGUAAGUUUUCAAAUUUCAUAUUUGUUAGUUAUCUUUAGGAAUUAAAGGGGCCAAGUCAGUAUUUGAAAAAUGGGAAUUGUAACUUGGUCUCUUUUCCUUUAAAUUUAUCCUGAGCUACCCUGUUAAAUGAAUUUGUGCUGCCAAUUUUUUAAUGUUCUAUUCUCAUAGCAACAGGCUGUGAUGUCAGAGGGUUAUUUAUCACAAAACUGAUUUAAAAAAUGCUAGGCUAUGAAGCAGAAAGCUCCGAUUUAAUUGCAUGUUAUUCAAUAAUCAUCCUAUCUAAUAAAGAGGGAAUAUGCAAAUUGACCCUCACACCAUCGCAAAUAUGAUGGCACCCACAGCCAAUAAGGAAGGAAUAUGCUAAUUGACUGCCCUGCCCUCAAAGAUGGCGACGCCCAGUCCCCUCAGCCCUGCCAUGCACCUGCCUCCAGAGUCCCCCAGUCUCCUCAGGCCCCCAGCUGCCCCGGACCGGCCCGAGGCACAGGCAAGCCUCAGAUGGCGGCUGCCCAGCCACCCAGGGCCACCUGAGGCUCAGGUAACCAGAGCCGGCCGAGGCUUGUGCUGCCGGCAGUGGCAGCAGCAGAGGUGUGAUGGGACGUCGCCUUUCCCUGAUCGCCGGGUUGACUCCCGCUCUUGAGGACUCCCGGACUGUGAGAGGGGGCAGGCCGGGCUGAGGGACCCCCCCCCUCCAGUACAUGAAUUUUCAUGCAACGGGCCUCUAGUGUUAUGCAAAUAAAAAUGGAAACAGAUCAAAAGUAAAAGACUCAAAAUAACAAGUUUAUGUGAACAUUUUUAUUAAUAGUUGCCAUAGUAUAAAAAAAGCUUUCCCUUCAGCAUUUUUUAU